UACGUAGGCAGCAAACGUUGUUCGGAAUUACUGGGCGUAAAGAGUGUGUAGGCGGCUUUGCAAGUUUGGUGUGAAAUCUCCCGGCUCAACUGGGAGGGUGCGCCGAAUACUGAAUGACUAGAGUGCGGGAGAGGAAAGUGGAAUUCCUGGUGUAGCGGUGAAAUGCGUAGAUAUCAGGAGGAACACCGGUGGUGUAGACGGCUUUCUGGACCGUAACUGACGCUGAGACACGAAAGCGUGGGUAGCAAACAGG
rnacentral:rRNA from 1 species